GACAGAGGGUGCAAACGUUGUUCGGAAUUACUGGGCGUAAAGCGCGUGUAGGCGGCUAAGUAAGUCGGGCGUGAAAUCCCACGGCUCAACCGUGGAAGUGCACUCGAAACUGCAUAGCUAGAGUCCUGGAGAGGAAGGUGGAAUGCUUGGUGUAGAGGUGAAAUUCGUAGAUAUCAAGCGGAACACCGGUGGCGAAGGCGGCCUUCUGGACAGUGACUGACGCUGAGACGCGAAAGCGUGGGGAGCAACA
rnacentral:rRNA from 1 species